GAUGAACGCUGGCGGCGUGCCUAAUACAUGCAAGUCGAGCGAACAGACGAGGAGCUUGCUCCUCUGACGUUAGCGGCGGACGGGUGAGUAACACGUGGAUAACCUACCUAUAAGACUGGGAUAACUUCGGGAAACCGGAGCUAAUACCGGAUAAUAUAUUGAACCGCAUGGUUCAAUAGUGAAAGACGGUUUUGCUGUCACUUAUAGAUGGAUCCGCGCGGCAUUAGCUAGUUGGUAAGGUAACGGCUUACCAAGGCAACGAUGCGUAGCCGACCUGAUAGGGUGAACGGCCACACUGGAACUGAGACACGGUCCAGACUCCUACGGGAAGCAGCAGUAGGGAAUCUUCCGCAAUGGGCGAAAGCCUGACGGAGCAACGCCGCGUGAGUGAUGAAGGUCUUCGGAUCGUAAAACUCUGUUAUUAGGGAAGAACAAAUGUGUAAGUAACUAUGCACGUCUUGACGGUACCUAAUCAGAAAGCCACGGCUUACUACGUG
rnacentral:rRNA from 1 species